rnacentral:rRNA from 1 species
GAUCCUGGCUCAGGACGAACGCUGGCGGCGCGCCUAACACAUGCAAGUCGAACGGAACGAAUUUCUAGAAGUUUACGGAUGGAAGGGAAUAAGUUUAGUGGCGGACGGGUGAGUAACGCGUGAGUAACCUGCCUUUUAGAGGGGGAUAACGUUUAGAAAUGAACGCUAAUACCGCAUAACAUAUAAGUUUCGCAUGGAACUGAUAUCAAAGGAGAAAUCCGCUAAAAGAUGGACUCGCGUCCAAUUAGCUAGUUGGUAGGGUAAAGGCCUACCAAGGCGACGAUUGGUAGCCGGACUGAGAGGUUGACCGGCCACAUUGGGACUGAGACACGGCCCAGACUCCUACGGGAGGCAGCAGUGGGGAAUAUUGCACAAUGGGGGGAACCCUGAUGCAGCGACGCCGCGUGGGUGAAGGAGUGCUUCGGCAUGUAAAGCCCUAUCGGCAGGGAAGAAGCAAGACGGUACCUGACUAAGAAGCCCCGGCUAACUACGUGCCAGCAGCCGCGGUAAUACGUAGGGGGCGAGCGUUAUCCGGAUUCACUGGGUGUAA